ensembl:snRNA U1 U1 spliceosomal RNA
AUACUUACCUAGAAGAGGAGAUACCAUGAUCAUGAAGUAGUUUUCUCAGGGUGAUGCUCAUCCAGUGUACUCUGGAUGAUGUGCUAACCCCUGCAAUUUCCCCAAAUGUGGGAAAUUCAACUCUAUAAUUUGUGCUGGUGAUGAACUGUAUACAUGCUCUUCCCUG